AAUCUGUAAAUAUGAUAUUUAUUAAUAAUCAAACUUCACAAUUGAUCUUAACUGAUUUCAAAAGGAAAACAUCAAGUAUUCUAUGAUUUUGAACUAAAUUGUAUUUAUUCAAAUAUUAACACUUUCCAAUUUAUAGGCAUAGCAUUGAAUAAUAUUUUCUUCACCCAACCAGUGGGAAGUCAACAGAUACGAUAUAAUUAUGCACUUUGGUAUAUAUGUAGGUAUUUUCGGCUAACUUGAGUUUCAAUCAGGACAAGAAAGUCGUAAAAAGGGUGUCUAUGUAGUAUAGGGUUGCCAUCCGUCCUGGAAUUCCGGGACAUGUCCCGCUUUUGUACGUAAUGUCCCGGUGUCCCGAGCUGACACGAAAUUGUCCCGGUUCUCUGCUACUUCGAUCAAAAAAUUCGUCAUUUUGACAAAAUGCGACUGUAAAUGCAAACUUGAAGAAGUUUUUGUCGAGGCAAGUGAAGAAUUCUUUUGUGAAAAGCAGCGUUGAUGAGCUCCCUCUUGCCCUCGCCCUGGCACUUUGGAUAUUUUUUAACUUUUAUUUUUGCAUGUCUAUAGAAUUUUUAGGAUUACCAAUUACAAGGCUUAGUUGAAUUCAAAGGUCAUUCUAUGUAUUUGUUUGGGUAAUAUGUAAAAAUAAAGGAAUAAUAAUAAUAAUAAUCGAAAUCCA